CUAGAUUGGUGGGCUAUCAUCCCACGAAACUUUAGUUAACAGCUAAAUACCCUAGACAACUGGCUUCAAUCUA
rnacentral:tRNA from 2 species